CGAGAGCGAAAGUUGUCGCAUGGUCCAGAAGCCAAGAAGCCAAAGGAGAAUGUGUUUUAAAGAAGAAAACGAGACGACUUGUCUUCUUGUUGUAUUGCGGGUAACCGACAUCCAUGAACGUCUUACGUUGCAGUGACCUUAGACGGGAGAAAGCUACCUGACGACCUGGAAUGUGAACACAAGCCUAGCACGUGGAAGUGGAAGGAUGCUGUGGUUGCUCAAGCUCCUGCCCACCCCCUACCUCAAGAAGGACUGAGCUCACUGACCUGGAGGUCAACUCCUUCAUUCCUCAAGCAUGAAGAUGGGAGAUUUCGUGGACGUAGUUAAGCAGGAUGUUCGAGCCAUUUUGAACACGACGAACCAAAUGAAUCCUGCCAGCAAACAUUUCCCUUCAUAAUCAGUGAAAGAACUCCAAUUUGAGAGCUGGCAGCCUCACAGCCAGAAAACCCUGUCGGCCCCAUAGCAGCAGCGGCAGCUGCAGGUCACAACCGAAGUUCAGCCUGGACCUCCUUCUGUUGCACAUGUCCUUGAUCCAGAACAACCUGAAUUCACUCUGCCAUGCUGGGAAAUGCUGUCUGCCUAAACCCUGCCUCCAUUAAGCUAUAACACCAGCAUGCAGAUUCUUAGACAGACGGAUGAGGUGUUGGAUCAGCGGUGCUGCAGCUGCUCGUCAUCCACAGCUCAAACAUUGAUGACCACUGUGAGCCUUGGGAAGACAUCUUUCAGCUCUACAGCUGUAUUGUGGGCUUAUUGCUGAUUUUUUCAUCCUUGCUGUCUCAAGGAUGAUCGCUGCUCUGAUGCGGGAGCGUUCCAGAGAUUCAAAGGACCUGCGGUACAUGUGCGGAGUCCCCGAAUCUAAGCUAACCGCAGCUGCCGCCCCCUUCAAAGCGACAAACAUUGAGAGAACUACAAGAGACAGAAGGGGAGCGUCACCUUCAUCCACACAGACAGUUUUUGGCUGCGGGCCACGGCUCAGUUUCUCUCUCCAUCACCCUUCUCCUUCACAGAGUCCAGAGCAUAUAGCACAGCGGUCAAAGCUGGGUUUCCAAUCCUCCCCGUUGCGUCUGAUUCCCUCCUCCUGUGGGCAGUCGCCGCUGCAGCCCGGACCGGACGUACACACACAGUCGUAGCCUCCCGGAAGGUUCACACACACGCUGUCAUUCCAGCAGGUGUGUGUCUGCAAACUGCACUCAUCGAUGUCUGGAAGGCAGAGAGCGAGCCACAGUAAACAAAUGCUUGUGUGUCAUUUGUUGAGGAAACAGUGUUUUUGGGCAGUUAUCAAUUAAUGUAGUUUGGGUACAUUUGGGUACUGAAGCAGUUUUUUGGCCCCGACCAAAAUGUGUCCUGUAGUAUCAAAUACCUCCUGAUCUGAAUCUUAAUUCUUUCUAUUUCACAGUUUCAUUGGGUAAAACUGGCACAGUCCUUUAGUGGCAUUGAACAUUCGAGAACUUUCUCAGAGCCAAAAAACAUUUGCACGUCUCAAAAAGGUAUUCUUUCAACGUUGGUGUUGAAUAAAUUCUACUGUGACAUUAAUGACCAGCUACUUUGAUACACAACC